rnacentral:lncRNA from 1 species
GUGAAAUCUUGCCGUUUGCAAUGACAUGCGAGGACCCAGAGGGCAUCACGCGCUGAUGGAGAUAAGCCAGUGGGAGAAGGAAGAUUCUGUCCCUGCGGCCACGGCCGCGGGGAGGCGGAGCCCCGUGUCCCGGAGUGGGGAUCUCCGUCCCGCCGCGUGCCCCAUGCACCGGCUCAGCCAGCGCAUCUCUUUCCCGGGUGCCUGCGCAAUGGCAGGCACGUUCUCGGGUCACGAACUCCACGAAGCCAAGGACCAAUCACAUUUUGUUCAUGGUGACAUUCCUGGAAAAUCUCGUGUUUUGGCACAAAACAGAUGUUAACCUGCACAUUGUAUGAGAAUAAAACCAACUCUGGAGAUGUGUGUGGGUGGGACUGGGGUCCUUGUAAGCCUCUCCCCUGCUUCCUCAGGACAGUGGACACUUCCUACACUUCCUGUACUUCUCUGCCAGGCCCAGCGUCACCUCCCCCAUGAUGCCCCCCCUGACUGCCCCAGGCAGAGGAAGAUCUUCCUUUUGCCUUCAUCCUUAGUGUUUGUUGAAGGGACAGAUUUUACUGACUUUGGCUCUUCCUAGUUCUUUGAGGC